GAGCCUAAGCCAUUUUUUAACUCCGCCAAUGCAACUCCUUACAUUGCCGUGAGUAUCUCUGGUUUUAUGGUUUUACUUGUACAUUCCUGUAUUGAUUACUCAAGCAUGACAGUUAUGCGCAUUCUUUCAGGUGGAUGUUGCAUGUGGGAGGGUUGGAGCUGCAUAUUUCAGAUUCAAGCAUCUGGAUGAUGGAAUAUACGAAGCUGUUGAAAUUUCAGGGUGAAGUCGAGCACAUUUCUCUAAUGAAGCCAAAGAUUUGUAUUUUCAGCAUUAUUGUAAUUGUAACUGUAAUUGAUUGUAAUUGUAAUUGAUUGAAUGAAGGAUUGUAAUUGUAAUUGAUUGAAUGAAGGAUUGUAAUUG